AUUGAACGCUGGCGGCAGGCCUAACACAUGCAAGUCGAACGAGUGGCGGACGGGUGAGUAAUGUCUGGGAAACUGCCUGAUGGAGGGGGAUAACUACUGGAAACGGUAGCUAAUACCGCAUACCAUCAGAGUGCCCCAGAUGGGAUUAGCAGUUGGGUGGGGUAACGGCUAACCAAGGCGAGGAUCCCUAGCGGGUCUGACAGGAGGACCAGCCACACUGUAACUGAGACACGUGCCAGACUCCUACGGGAGGCAGCAGUGGGGAAUAUUGCACAAUGGGCGCAAGCCUGAUGCAGCCAGGCCGCGUGUAUGAAGAAGGCCUUCGGGUUGUAAAGUACUUUCAGCGGGGAGGCGUUACCCGCAGAAGAAGCACCGGCUAACUCCGUGCCAGCAGCCGCGGUAAUUC
rnacentral:rRNA from 1 species